UAAUACGAAGGGUGCAAGCGUUGUUCGGAUUUAUUGGGCGUAAAGCGCGCGUAGGCGGACCUGUAAGUCAGAUGUGAAAUCUCGGUGCUCAACACCGAAACUGCGUCUGAAACUGCGGGUCUUGAAUCUUAGAGGGGGAGUGGGAAUUUCGCAUGUAGGGGUAAAAUCCGUAGAGAUGCGAAGGAACACCAGAGGCGAAGGCGCACUCCUGGACAAGUAUUGACGCUGAGGCGCGAAAGCGUGGGGAUCAAACAGG
rnacentral:rRNA from 1 species